CUUGGGGUUAGGGUUCGGUUAAGUUUGAGGGUAAGGGUUAGGGUUAGGUUCAGUGCUAGGUUUACAUUUAGGGUUAGGAUACAGCUGGGGUUAGGAUUAAGGUUAGGAUUAGGGUUAGUGUUUGUUUUGGGUUAGGGACUGGGUCAGGGUUAGGGUUGAUGUUCAGGUUGGGUUAAUAUUAGUGUGAGGGUUAGUAUUUGCAGAAAGGUUUAGAGCAAGGUUUCAGGUUUGCAUUAGAGUUAGGGUUAGGGUUAGAGUUUGGGGUUAAUUUUGGGUAGUGUUAGGGUUAGGGAUUGGGUUUGAUUGAGGGUUAAACUUAUGGUAAGAUUUAGGGUUGAGCUUAGGGUUAGGGUUUGGAAUUAGGUUUAAGAUUAAUGUUGUGGCUAGGCUUAGAGUAAGGUUUAGAGUUAGGGUUAGGGUUAUGUUUAGGGCAGGGUUUGGGUUAAAGUUAGGCUUGUGGGCUAGGGUGUAGUAUCCUCUGUACAGAUUCUAUUGUGAUACAUGAUUGAACCAUUUGCCAUUUCACAUUUAAUCCUUAGGGGAACCGAGUAAAUGGGAGUUUCAUGUGUUCUCAUGUUCAAUACAGAACCAGCAGUGGCAGCAACGAUGUCGAGACAAUGACUUUCACAGGCAUGAGAAGUAAUGGAGAUGUGCACAGUUCUUCCAGCCGCUGUGCAAAGAGCCAAUCCAAACCAGCGCUCUUCUUUACAAGUCCCUUUAUGCCAGUGAGGUUUCUGUCAACAGUGGGUGUGCUUACAAUAGACACAUGAGGUAAGCUCUGGGUUCUACUGACUCUUUCUAUUAUGAUUCUACGAUUACUUUUGACCUUUUCAUUUUCCUUUUAGUUUUCUUUCAUUGUUAUUUUUUUCCAGGCGUGUACCUGGACAAAGCCCAGCAGUUCCCAUGAUACCAUUGUGUCCGUGAUGCUUUCCUAGUGAAGGGAGUUUCACCUGGAUGAUACCUCCUUGUACAGCCAAAUGCACUGAAACCAAAACGAACCUUGCUGUUAUUCAUUUCAUGUGGUCAUUUAAGUGGCCAUUUUAAUACAAUGUAUUUUAAUCAGAGAGAUGGCCAGCCAAUCAGAGAGAUCCCCCACGACAUCCUUAUAACAAAGCUGAGGAAGUAUGGGAUAGAUGAGUGGACAGUGAGUGAAUUACCUGGAGCAGGCAUUUUGUUCCCUUUCCGUGGACUUGAGAACUGACAAAGGGGAGAACUUUCUUCUGGGAUAUCUACAGUAUGCCUUCAGUCACUGAUUUGGCUCUUUAGUUGCUGACAGACUGAGCUCAGACUGCAGCUCAGCAGUUGUCACCUACAUCAAUGCUUUCAGCUUCCUGGGGUCACUGGAGCUGAGAACUGACUGUCCUGACAGUGCAGCCUCCCAGAAUACUGCAUUGCAGCCACUCUUCCUCUCCUAACCCCAGAGCUGUACAGUCACCACCAUCUGUGGCACCAGAACGCAUCUUCAGACGCCCCUCAGUCCGCAGCCCUCAGAAUGCCUUGCAUGCUGACCUCCACCUCUGUGUGCUCCAGCACCCACGAGAAGAGACUCCAGGAUUAAACAUGCUCACCUCUGUGACACCUCUGUUGUCACAUCAGGACAACCCUAUCAAGCCAGCUUUUCAAUUAACUCAAUCCUUUGCACAUCCUUCUGCCACCAACCACCCCAAGGCUAUCCCUGUCUUUGCCCUUGUUGGAAAUACCCAAAUAAUUUAUCAGGACGGUAUUUCUGAUAAAGCAGAUUUUCUUUGCAAUUGCAAGGCCAGGCCUCCUGCAGGCAGGAGAGCGCCCCGAAAACAGCCUUACAUCCUUUAUGCCCUAUUAUUCCAUGCUGAUCUCUUUCUCCCCUGGUUCCUCAUUGGCUGAGUGCUUCAGGUUCACAAUCUUCCGGACACUCAACUGAACCUACGGAUACUGGAUGAACAUCAGCUGUUGCAGCUGAGCACACAUCGCUUAUGAGUGACUUCUCACACUUGCUCACUCAACACUCGGUCGUAGUUUCUGGACUUCUGCUCGUCCCUGCAUAGAGAUGAGCUUGGAAGGAGGACAAGGGGGAUGCCUUGAUGCCUGCCUGUUGCAUCCCAGCCUACCCACAGAGCCAGGCAAGCCAACCUUGUGUAGAGGCCCUGGCUCCUUUGAUGUUUGUUAAGUCUGUUUCUCUUUUGCUGAGGGUCUCUUAUCCAAACAGAACAGCCCUCAGUAUGCUUUCUAGCCCAUAAUACCAUACCUAUACUAUUUGCAUCAUUUAAAAACUAUUGCAGUUUUGCAAGCUUAAUUAAUCACACAAUUCAGCAGCUGUAUUUCUAAAGCACGUUACUAACAAUACAUUAUUUCUGCCUUUUCACAGCAACUAUUUCUAAGGACAAGUUACAAAAUACAAAAACACUGUGCUCU